CUCUGUUCGACCCCGGUCCCCUCAUUCCUGCCCUGCUAUUUUCAGAUCAGGAACAUCUGGACGAGGAGAUAAACAACCUCCGGAAAGAGCUGCGUGUGAAGGUCAACCGUCUCUAUGAAGCUCAAGGUAAACCUGAGCUGAAGGGAUUUAACCUGAACCCCAUGACGCCAGAGGAAAUGAAACUGAUCAAUCGCAUCCUGGAAGGCUGAGGCAGCUGCACCAUCACAACUGUGUGCAAACACUGCUCAGGGUGGUGUGGUUGGGUAUCGCUCACAGUGCCUGCACUGCAUCGGCCGUAGCCUCCAGGAUUUCCAGCACUUCCGUGCUGCUGGAGCCUCUCAUAAAGAACCUGGGGAGCAUAGGGAAAGAUGCAGCUCCUCAGCUACAAUUCUUCUGGUUGUAAACUCUCCCUGCUCCUUGCUGAGGAUGGUGGCAGAGCAGUGCAGAGGCAACUACUGGAACAGUGGCUUAUUCACAGCCUCUGACAAACACCCGCUUGCAAGGGGGUUAUUAAAAUCAGCACUGUGGGGCAUUCCUAA